CGUCUGCUCUUUGUGCUCUUUCAGAUGGCAGGGUAUCGGCAAAGUCCCAGACACAUCAGAUGCGAUGUUCCCUUGUCAGUGUGACUGAGCAUCGUCAUCCUGUAGGAUAAUAGAAUUUUCAGUUAUGCUUGUAUGUGUGUGUGAACUGUGGUAUUUAAGACUUCAUAGCUUCUAGUCUAGGAAGCACAUAUAAGUCUGUGAAAUCACCUAAUGAAAUGCCAUCCUGUGUCUCUCUCUCUCUCUAAUAUUAAAGGAAAAGUAGCAUUCCAUGAUUCUCUCCAGAUCAGAGUAUGCUUGGAGUCAUAUUGCAGAGCAAAUCUGAACUAAACUGUAAAGAGUACUGACUUCACUUGGCAUGAUAUCAUGCCCAUUUCAAACAUUUCCUGCUAUGAUGGGUAAUGGGCAUGCAAAUUGCUGGUCUCCUAGCAUAUGGACUUCCUUCAUGAAACUUUCUGCGCAAAUGGAAUCACAUACCAGUAUUCCUAUAGCCACUACAAAGGCAAAUUGCAAGAUUUUUUGGAGUGCAUCCUAUUACUUCAAGCUGAUAAUCAAAGAUAUCAAUCAUCCAUUAUACUAGUAACUAGAGGUCUCAAUCAAUAAAAUAUUAUCGAUAAUGUAUCCAUAAAUGAAAGUCAACUGUUGCAUAAUUAUCAAUAAUUUAAUAUCACUCCCUGAUUUUUUUAAGUUCACAUA
rnacentral:lncRNA from 1 species